AUGAAGUCAUCCAUUGGAGCUUUAUUUAUGUUCUUGUGGCUGCAGCUGAACUGGGUCAGCCAUGGAGAGAAAGUGGAUCAGCAUCCUUCUACCUUGAAUGUCCAGGAGGGAAACACCGCUGUUAUCAACUGUUCUUAUUCAGACAGUGCCUCAGCUUACUUCCCUUGGUAUAAACAAGAACCUGGAAAAGGUCCCCAGCUCAGUAUAGACAUUCGUUCAAAUAAGGACAAAAUCCAAGCUGGAAGACUCACUGUUUUAUUGAAUAAGGCGGCCAAACAUCUCUCCCUGCACAUCGCAGCCACCCAACCUGGAGACUCUGCCGUCUACUUCUGUGCAGCGAGUACACAUUGA